rnacentral:lncRNA from 1 species
AUCAAAUCGGUUGGAGGUUCGUCGUCGCGUCAUUCGCACGCUCGUGUAAAUCUUUCGUCGAUGUUGAGGAGACGGACGUUUAGUGAAUACGUGCGUACGAUAUAGUAACGAUCCAAUGCCGGAUUUGAUCGGGUCAAGCUAUCAUGAAGACGGUCGUGUUGAUCAAACCAACAAAUAAAUCGUGACUAUACGUUUGCACGUAUACACCAAUCGGCCGUCGUCGGAGAAGAAGAAGAAAGAGGAGGUCAUGAGGCCUCCUCGCACACCGUUGUCGUCGUCGAAGUCGUCACAGCCGCCGUUGUCGAAGUCGU